rnacentral:rRNA from 1 species
UACGGGGGGGGCAAGCGUUGUUCGGAAUUAUUGGGCGUAAAGGGUUCGUAGGCGGCCAACUAAGUCGGACGUGAAAUCCCCAGGCUCAACCUGGGAACUGCGUCCGAUACUGGAUGGCUUGAAUCCGGGAGAGGGAUGCAGAAUUCCAGGUGUAGCGGUGAAAUGCGUAGAUAUCUGGAGGAAUACCGGUGGCGAAGGCGGCAUCCUGGACCGGCAUUGACGCUGAGGAGCGAAAGCCAGGGGAGCAAACGGG